AGGCUAAUAUACUUGGCUGUGUACACGUUUUCGUGCCUCGCACGUUUUGGACUUUAAUGUUGUUUAUUUCAUCGUGAAGACAGCUGUGUGAAGUAUAAGUCACCCAUAGUUGCCUACAAGAUUAUAUUAAACGAAGAGCUUCCAUUUUUCCGUGUCCGUCUGGGUUUAUACACCACACGAGGAUCGGGGCUAACUCAUUAGCCAGAUCGUUACAAAUCAAAUGGCGCCCGAACUGUGAAUGAACACCCCCAGAAGGAAAGGUUUGGACAAUGGACAGUAUUUGGAAUAUGUUUUUGGUGGACGACGAAGCAGGCAAACUAUUUGGAAUUCGACUUUUUCUUUGCCUCGCACACGUUGACUAGCGGACUGCUGAGGCAGCUAAGUUUACGACAUUUCAUUCACUCAUGCACGGUGAUGGUGUUCCACUCGGGCUGUUGGGUGAUGAUUCGGUCACAAUUCAGCGUCUUGCUGCUCAGGGUCACGGGGAACCGGAGCCUAACCCAGCAACACAGG